AUGGGCACCCACACCCUGUACUGUGUGGCCCUGUGUGUCCUAGUGCCAAAGCACACAGACGCUGGGGUCAUCCAGACACCCAGGCAUGAGGUGACAGAGAAAAGACAAGCUGUCACGCUGAGAUGUGAGCCCAUAUCAGGCCACACUCAUCUUUUCUGGUACAGACAGACUGCGGGGAAGGAGCUGGAGUUUCUCAUUUAUUUCAGCAGCAGAUCUGUUGUAGAUGACAAGGGAAUGCCCAAGGACCGGUUCUCAGCCGAGAUGCCCAGUGCCUCCUCUUCCACUCUCAAGAUCCAACCCACAGAACCCAAGGACUCAGCCGUGUACCUCUGUGCCAGCAGCUCAACCACAGCACUGCAGGAUCGUCCUCUGCAGGUGCAGAAACCCUGGCGCUUCUCCUUCUCCCUCCAGCCCCAGCAGAUCUGA